UCUCCAUAGCAGCAGCAGCCCAGCACCAGGCCCAGCCCCCUGUCUCCAUAGCAGCAGCCCUGCCCCCUGUCUCCAUAGCAGCAGCCCUGCCCCAGCUCCCACAACAGCUUCGUAACCCUGAGGCCCUGGCUGCCGUGGCCCAGCUCUUCCAGUCCGGACAGGGACACGAGCUUCAGAAGAUGCUUCUGAGGUUCCAGCCAGGGCAACAGAAUCCACCUAUGGUUCCCAACACCGUGUCUGACCAGACCCACUCACAGAUGGUCCAAGGCCAGCAUAACACACACCACACACAUCCUACAGAGCAGAAUAACUCACUAGCUAAGAAACUCCUGGACCGUUUUGAUUACGACGAUGAACCAGAAGAAGUGAAGAAAGAGG